GGUAGAGCACCUGACUGUUAAUCAGGGUGUCGUCAGUUCGAGCCUGACAUCCGGAG
rfam:Lactobacillus camelliae DSM 22697 = JCM 13995 strain DSM 22697 NODE_105, whole genome shotgun sequence.